UGUCGCGCGCCGGUCGCGUCAUCUGCAGCUGCGGCGCGUGCAGGGUGAGAGUAUCUGGAGCUGGUUUGUUUAUAAAGUGUUUAAAUCGGUAAAACCGGGUUUAUUUACCGAUUCCAGUGCAGCGGCCACGCGCUGACCGUGCGGGGGUUUAAUCCGGAGCCGGAGCUGCGGGAGAACAGCGGAGAACAAGCGGUAAUCCCCGCGUUUACUCCGGACACGUGGAGCUACAGGACCCCCCCACACCCCAUAAUCCCAGCUACUCUCCAUGAGCAGUAAAAGCAGUGUUGAAGCUGCUCCAGCAGUGAUGGCUGCGGAGGAUAACGAUGAAGAGUUAUCGUCUCUGGAAGAUGAAAACGUCAUCAGCGCCAGUGAGGAUGAGGAGGGCAGUGAAGAUGAGAGGAAACACACCAAGCUCCUGGAGGCCAUCAGCUCUCUGGGAGGGAGGAGAAGGAUGAAGCAGACGGAGCGCUCCGAGGCCAGUCUGCAGGUCUCGGAGUUCUCGGUUGCAGCAGACGGAGCUGGAGAGAAGGUGGAGCUCUCGGAUCUGCUGGGAACCAUGGAGAAAACUCCCGGAGCUCCAAACAAAACCAAGAAGCAGCUGAAGAACCUGCAGAACCGCAAAGAUACACUGGAGCUCCCACUCAGCAAACAGGAGACUGAGAAGAUCCAGAGAGGGGUGGCGUAUAAGAAGAGCAGUAGGGAGGUUUCCCGGUGGGAGAGUGUUAUCACCCAGAACCAGAAGGCAGAGCAGCUGGUCUUCCCACUCAGGCAGGACCCAACAGGACACAAACGCAUGGAGCAAGUGGUGGCCGGCUGGAAGGCUCGGACUCCACUGGAGCAGGAGAUCUUCAGCCUCCUCCACAGCAACAGCCAGCCCAUCCACGACCCGGUGCUCACACCUGUAGAGGAGGCCUCCAUCAAGGCCAUGAGUCUGGAGGAGGCGAAGAUCCGUCGGGCGGAGCUGCAGAAGGCGAGAGCGCUCCAGUCCUACUACGAGGCCAAAGCCAGGAGAGAGAGCAAGAUCAAGAGCAAACUGUAUCACAGGGUACAGAAGAAGGCUAAGCGUCGGGAUUUCCUGAAGCAGUUUGAGGAGAUGGUGAAGACUGAUCCGGACGCAGCUCUGGAGGAGCUGAAGAGGAUGGAGCUCUCCAGGAUGCAGGAGAGGAUGACUCUGAAGCAUCAGAACAGCGGGAAAUGGGCCAAAGCCAAAGCCAUCAUGGCCAAAUACGACCAUUCGGCCCGUAAAGCCAUGCAGGAGCAGCUGGAGAUUAAUAAGGAUCUGACCCAGAAGCUGGCAGUUCCUUCUGAAGACGAGGAUGAGGAGAAGAACGGUGAUGAAGAAGCCGGUGCUCUUCCUGAUUUCGUAAACGAUCCGGAGCCGAUCCUGGACCCGGUUAACCCCUGGAUGAGAGGGAAACUGAGCAAAGAGGAGCCAGAGCCUGAGGUGGAAGCAUCUACUGAGGCCAGAGAUGAAGAUCUGGAAGUCCAGCAGCAGCAGGAAGAGGAAGAAGAAGAGGAGGAAGAGGAAGAGAAUGAGGAAGAAAAGCUGCUGAGGGAGUUUGAGAGGAAACGGAAACUGAGAGAAGAUGAGGACGACGAUCUGGUUCCGGUUCCACAAGAGGAGGAGAAUCAGACCUUACCAGUGGCUGGAGCAGAACAAGCUUCCAGUAUAGAGGUGUCUGCUGAAGAUGGGUCAAAAAUUACAGAUAAUAAUGAUGAAGAUAAAGAUGAAGAUGAUAAAGAUGAAGAGGAGGAGGAGGAAGAGGAGGAGGAAGCAGAAGAAGUGGUCUCAGAGUUUAACAGCCUCUUUAACAGACUGAUGAAGAGCAACACCACCCCCGCUGUACCGGAUCAGAACGAGGGGGAGGAGCUUCUGGACGAGGGGCUGGUCCGAGUCCAAACAAUGGAAGAUCUGGAGGCCCUGAGAAAAGACCGUACCAAUGAAGCCAAUCAGGAAGCUUCAGUCCCAGCAACGGACACGCCCACCGCCCCAGAGUCCGCCUCCGAACCCCCAAACAAGAAGAAGAGAAGAAGGAAGGAGAUCGACCUGAAAAAAGUUCUGACCAAACAGGCCACCGUAGUUAAAGUGCCGCUAGCUCCGACUGUGCUGGAAGAAGAGGAGGAGGAAGCUGAGGUCCACACUGAACAGGCGGCCAUCAUUAAGGAGGCCUUUGCUGGCGAUGAUGUAAUCUCGGACUUCCUGAAGGACAAAAGGAAACAGGAAGAGGCGGGGCGUCCCAAAGUGGUGGACCUGACCCUGCCGGGCUGGGGGGAGUGGGGGGGUCUCGGCCUCAAACCCUCCAAAAACAAACGCAGGAAGUUCCGGAAGAAAGUAGCUCCUCCCCCUCCGAGACAAGAUAAGAAGCUUCCGGCUGUGAUCAUCUCUGAGAAGAGGGACGCCUCUGUAGCCGCCCAUCAGGUGAGUCAGCUGCCGUUCCCGUUCCAGAACCCCACUCAGUUCGAGAGCUGCGUCCGAACUCCCAUCGGCCAAACCUGGAACACCCAGACCACCGUCAGGAAACUCACCGCGCCGAGAGUCGUCACCAAGAUGGGCGCCAUCAUCGAGCCCAUGAGCAGAGAGGACCUCGUACCCAAGCAGAAGAGCAACGAGGCCAAGAGAGGAGCCGCCAUCCUGCUGGAGGAGAAGAGGGAGAGGGGGAAGAAGAAGGGAUCAGGGGGGAAGAGAGCACUGCAGCAGAAGAAGAAGAAAAUGCAGAAACAGAAGAAGACCAAAGAAUAGAGACCGUGAUGGAACCAAUGUAAUAUAGACUGGAUUUGAGCAGAGAACAGGAAUUUAGAGCUGCCAGAGUUUCGAUACACGUCUACUUCACUACUUCACAAUCUGACGCGUGGCUCAUCGUGUCGAGAGUUCCAUUAGAGUGUCUUAGAGGUGUCCAAACUUAUCCAUAUAUAUCGCUUUUCCACCGACGUGGAACCAGCACACUUCCGUUUCAAGAACCUUCACCAACUUUAAGCCGUUUGCCAUGUUUACGCCAAUAAAAGCAGGUUCUAGAACCAGGAACCUUUAUUCUCAGUAGAAAACGAAGAAUACUAGGUUCUUCAGCAUGAUCCGUGAUCACCGCUCAUGUGCAGUGUCCUCUUAAACUGGUGGAAAUGUGGACAGAUUUACUAAAAAUCACUACAGUUCUUAUAAACCUGAGCAGAACUGGCUCAAGAACUGGAGUUCUUACAAUAUUUAAAGCCAUUUUUAUGAUGAACAAUAUUUAUCAUAUUUUUUUCACACAGAGAAAACGCACUAAUAGUUGCAGAUUCCCACAUAAAAAUUCAAAUUAAGUACCACAGCUAUUUAAAUACAGAGAUUUUUAUAAGAAGAACGUGAAUAACAUAGCAUUUAACUUGUUAACCUAACAAUUAUGUUAAGCUCAUGUUGCUCAUUGUUUGAAGACCAACUGAUCAGGCGAUUAAACAGGUGGAAGUAACUGUAGCCACACUGGCUCUAAUCUAUGCCUUAGGUAAGCCACUUAGCCAUGUACCACAUGUACCACCAUAGCCUACACCAUAGCCUGACAUUCAUCUCCCAAGAAACGUAUCUCUCCCCAAUUUACAAGGCAAAUUUCCCACUAGUGAUGUCCCUACACAAGGAGGAUGAAGACUAGCACAUGCCUUAUCUGACCCCGCCUAUUUUUGAACAGAGUAGCCAGUAGCCAGCGACUUGGAGGAAAGUGCAGCGAAUCGGUUCUGAUACAUCAGCUCACAGACGCAGCCUUGUGCUGAUCCACAUCACCCUAGAAGUGAUGAGGGGAAAGAGAGAGAGAGCCAUCUACUGUACUGUACCCACCCAGAGAGAGCAAGGCAAACUGUGCUCUCUCAGGGCUCCGGCAGCUGAUGGCAAGCUGCGUGACCAGGAUUCGAACAAGCAAACAAUCUUCGGAUCAUAGUAGCCUUAGCGCCUUAGUCCUCUAGACCACUCGGAGCCCAAGAGCAACUCAGAUUGAUUAAAUGGUUGUUUGCAAAAACAGUGGUGCACAAGUAUAAACGCUCACAGCUGCGUAGGGCACUCGCACCGGUGACAUCUUGGACAAUGUGUUGACUCUACGCAGAAGAAUUAAACAGCCUUUAGCAGUAUUUGGAUUUCCAGAAUUAGAUUAGAAUACAAUAUCGAGGGUCACCGGGUCAUCAGCAGCCAGAGUCCGAGAGAGAGUGUACAGUAGGUCAUGCUGCUUCUCCAUCAGCAGCCAGAGUCUAAGAGAGAGAGAGAGAGAGAGAGUACAGUAGAUCAUGCUGCUUCUCCAUCAGCAGCCAGAGUCUAAGAGAGAGAGAGAGAGAGAGAGUACAGUAGAUCAUGCUGCUUCUCCAUCAGCAGCCGGAGUCUGAGAGAGAGAGAGAGAGAGAGAGAGUGUACAGUAGGUCAUGCUGCUUCUCCAUCAGCAGCCGGAGUCUGAGAGAGAGAGAGAAAGAGAGAGAGAGUACAGUAGGUCAUGCUGUUUCUGCAUCAGCAGCCGGAGUCUGAGAGAGAGAGAGUACAGUAGGUCAUGCUGUUUCUGCAUCAGCAGCCGGAGUCUGAGAGAGAGAGAGAGAGAGAGAGUACAGUAUCAGAGCUGGAGAUCGUCACUUUCCUCCAAGUUCACUGUAAUGCUGCCUAGUGAUGCUGCGCCAUGAUUGGUGGCACCUGGAAAAGAGGCGGAGUCUGUCUUCACAAGUAUCGGAGGAGGCAUGCACUUGUCCUGACUAGUGCCUCCUAGUGUUUGGGAAUUGUUACUAAUGAAAUUGGGGAGGAAAAUUGCGACAAAAAGUAGAAAUAAUUUAUAAAGAAUUUGAUUUAUAACAAUUACAAUUCUUAAACAGAAGGAUUGAAUUCUUUUAUCCUGUUUUUUCGCUUUAUUUGCGUUCAGAAACGGCACACUUUCGCACAAGCCCGUCGAGGAAAGUGAUUAAUCACGAGGAAAUAGUGCGAGUGGACUCGUAUCGUAAAGAGUGAAAGAACUGUGAUAUAAAAACCUGCUCUGCUGAAUUGAUUCUCCUGUAUAAUAAAGGACUGUAGAGUCUGAAUCAUUGAUUUUUUUUUUUUUCUCGGCGCUUUCUGUAGAUAAAUCGACUCUGUAGAGGUUUAUUUUCUGAAGUUAAGGGGGUUAAAAUUCCUCUGUAAAGUGUAGAAAAGCGUGGCUGGGCUUCUCUGCUCUCUUCCCUCAGCUCUAUUGUCUGAACGGCGAUGCUGAUUUGUGAUUUAAAUGUGAUUAAUAAAUUGUUAUUACUGUA